AAAUUAUAUAUGAAUAUAUUUAUGAUGUAAAACAUGAGUUGAAAUAUGUAUACAUUGUGGAAUGGCUAAAUCAAGUUUAUUAAUCUAUGUUACCUGACAUAUCAUUUUUUUUGUGGUGAGAACAAUUAUAAUUUGCUCUUAAUUUCAACUAUAACACAUGAAUCCUGCAUGGUGUAUAAUUAUAAUGCAUCUAUAAACACAUUAAUAUUUUAAAAAUGAUUAAAAUAAAUAUAUUGUUAGUACUAUAAUUAUCAUGUUAUACAAUGGGCCCUUUGAACUUAUUCAUCCUAUAUGACUGCAAUUAACCAGAGAGAGAGUCAGAGUUCAGCUCACUGUUUUAGAGCAACUCUCUGAUGAAACGUAACCAGAAUCCCAUAAGAACUGCAUUCAUUUUUCCAAGGGCAGCAUCCCAGUGACCUUCUGGUAGGCUCCAGCUCUUAAAGAUCUCCCACUUUCCAACACUGCCAUACUGAGGACCAAGCUGUCAACACCUUAACCCUUGAAAGACACACUCAAACCCUAUCCAGAUCAUUGCAUGUAUGUGUUAGAGCAAAAAUAUGACCUCUCCCUUUAUAGGUUAACUGAUGAGAUGGUGUAUGGUUAAUUUGCUCCAGUCACCUAAGCUACAAUAACCAGAUUUAGUUGCUAAAUCAUGAAAGGUGACCUAUUAGGACCAGCUACAUGGAGACCCAUUUGUGGUGGGGGGAAUUUUUCAUUUUGACAGCCUAGACAGCCCGGAAUCAUCACGCUAAUCAUCCCUGAACUCCUACAUGGAAACAGCUUCUCUUAAUGAAGAUAGAGCGUGAAACGUGUCGCCAUGUUUUAUCUUCCAGAAUGUAAUGGAAUAGGUUGCACCAGAGGGAUAAUCUGUGUUCCUGGUCCUAUCUGUGACGUGCCUUGAUGGUUCUCCAAGAGGGAGCUUCCCUCACGAGGACCAUAUACCCCAUCGCUCCUCAAGUUGUGAUGUGUCAUCUGGGAGUAGUUUGAAUCCCAUCUCUCAGCAUUUCUUUCAUGACCCCAAGAUUAAAAGACCAUACUCCAUCUUAUUUUUAUUGUGUCUUUUGAGGGAGUGACUUUUAGCAGGGAAGAGAACCGUGUGCCAUCUGACCUAGAAAUGAAAGCUGAUGCCAACUGAUGGGAAGAUCACAAGGAAGACUUAUCAAAAUCAUUCUGUGUCUUUCAAAGUGGGGAUCGGCCUGACGACAAAAGAAAGAAGAAAUCACCUUGAUAAAAUCCCCAUGUGCUAUCUUCUUAUAUAAUAAAAUGAAAUUCUUCUUCUUAGAUCAAAAUAAAACCCUUAAUGCCCCCCCUCCCAUCCCCACCUCUUCCCAAUGGGAAAAAAGGUCAUUUAAGGUAGGAAAUAAUAAUAGAGUUUAUACAAAUUUUAUAGAUUUUAUUUAAAUGUGAAAUUCAUAAUUAUACACUAGUUCAUCAGCCUCGUGAAGGAGAUCAAGACUUUGUCCUUGAGUUGGAACCUGUGAUUAAAGUUUUUCCCUGGCUCUCACCCCCAAGUGGCAUCCACACGGCAUCCUUUACAAUGUUUAGUUUCAGUUCCUUAAGUGAGGGGAGAAACGUAGGAAGCAAUCUGAGAUCAGCAUCCUUCUAGAUUUUUUUUUUCUGAUCAUUUCCCUCCUCUGUCCUUGUACAUUUAUCUUGCUCUCUUAAUAUGACAGCAUUUUUAAAAAGCGAUCUUUUAUUGAAGCCUCUCUGCAAUGCAUUUAAUAUGGCUUUUAUAGAGACAUCAGAUUAUUUUUGCUCUUUCUAUUCAUAUUAAUUGCUUUUAAUAAUAUUUAGCUAGAUGACUUAAUGUCAGUAAUGAAUAAAACUGGCAUCUAGAAAGCCUGGAUCUAGAAAGAGGUCUGCCUGCUCGUUGCUAGGCACACAGUACAGGCAGACCUGUACUAUGUGGUGUUAUUGUGUGGCUGUUCUGGUGAGUGGGCUCUUAAUUGUGUGAAUUCAGCAUUCUAUAGCACCAAGCAGUAUAUUUUACGGAGGGAAAUGAAAGCCCUGGUUAAUCCCUCCUAGCUGUGUUGAGGCUGGUUAAGAGAGAGCUUUGGAAUCAUUUAUCAUAAAGUAUGUAGGUCCUUAUAGUCAAAACACACACACACACACACACACACACACACACACACACACACUAUCAGCAUUCAGAAAGGCAGCCCUUUAAAAAUUCCUCUUGUCUUUAAAUAAGCACAGUUUACAGUCCUUUAAAAUCUGGUCUGGUCUUAGGGAUUCAGUGCAGGCAAUUGAAAUGUGUAAAUCAAUGAGAUCUGUUUAUUAAAACACUCAAAUGCACAGUGUCUCAAAUGAUGUAGCUCCUUCAAGUUUUUUUCCCUUUUUUUUUCCUUCAAAGUGAUAGGCAUUAUAAACAAUGGGAAAUAUCUGUAUUCACCAACAAUAGUAAAAAAGCCCUCAGUGUAAUUUAAUGUCGGGAAUCAAUACUGUAUGCCCCUGAUUGAAUUGCAAGGUGGAGAUGAAGACUUUUAUUGCUCCAGGUGGAUUGAAAAAUGUUGGUGCCUGCGAGCCUACAGUCAGUCACAGACUCUCCAGUCACUGUGUGUUUUCAUUGCUUCUAAUAUUUUGCAGCUCUGGGCUACUGCCUGUUCUGCCUAAUGAUAGGGCCAACCUUGACCGGGAGCCCUCUGAACCUUCCCUAGGGGGCCCUCUGUGCUUGUCCACCCCUUGACAUCAGCCUUCGGAGUAUAUGAAAUAGAAAUCUUAAUGAAAGAACGGAGGACUGAGAUUUCACUGUGUGCUCAUCUGGCUAAACUCCUAACACUUCGUGAUUAUAUUUGAUUUUCAAGUCAUUCUGAACUCCAUCUGUGACUCUGCUCCCUUUUAUCUUUUCUCAGCAUCACAACCUUGACUACAAAGCCCAUUUCAAGAGGAAAACCUCUUAGAAUUCAAAUCACUUGCUCCUGCUUCAUGUUAGUCUGUUUGGGGUACCGGUUUACAGGAAGUCCUUUUGAAUGAUUGCUUUUAAUGAAAUCAAAGUGACUUGAGGACUGAAAACUUUGAUAACUGAAUAUGUGUUUUAUACCACUUUAGAGAUUCUUCUUGCAACUUGGCUGGAAGAGGGGAAAUACGAAUCACUGGAGAUGGUGAGGGCCAAGCCUUUUUUCUCGACUGCUUCUAGAAUUCUAAAUCAGCACCAGGAAGGGGCUCUUUGGAAGUGGCCACUGUGUGAGACCUCAGAAGCAACCUGGAGCCAGGUCUGUGAUUCAAGAAUGCUUCCAAAUGGGGGUGAUGGUUAUUCCUUGUAGUUGAGAUCAGAUAACCAGGCAGUAAUAAAUCAGAGCCUUUCAGGGUUUUAAAACUUCUUUUGGGACAAGCCUUGAAGUGGUAGGGUCUUUUUGGAGAUUUCUAGGGCUUAUAGUAGGAAGGUAGAAGACCCCUCUCCUAUACAUCAGGAUACAGCCUGUUCCCAUCAUCUGCAAACCUUCCAGACGAAGUGUUCUUGCUCCAAUGGAAACGACUCCACUUGGUUUGGAAAGGGAUUUUCAGUAGAAAGCUAUAGCAUGGUUUUCUCAUGCUCUUCUUUCCUUUAAGCUUUAGUAACUUCAUUAUGCUUGUCCUAUGAAGGAGAAAAACGGGAUUCAGAAGGAUAAAGUUCCCACGGCUGGUAAGUAGUGAAGAUGGGAUUUAAAUACAGUUCUAUCUGACUCCCUGAACUGGGUUUCACUCGGGGACAUUGAUGGUGUUGUCGGAGGACUGUGUGAAGAAUUAUUUGGUCAUCACUCACUUUCAGUUAGAGAACUGUAAGCACAAGACUUUGGACUUCUUCUGGGAAGAAAAGAAAGACGACAAGGUGGAUCCUUUAAUUAAAUUAAUCUUCUCUAAAUUAAAUGAUUGUAUCAUUAAUGGAUCAGCUUGUAUCCUCUUAUUCAGGAAAGGGAAGGAAACAUUAGUAGCUAUUGCCCCACAUGUGGGAAGGAGACUGGAGAAGAGUCUGUAUUGACAUGAAGCAUCAGCCUUCCUUCCAGGUCACUGGUCAUCCCAGAUGCUCUGGGUGCUUACGGCGAGCCAGGCUUGAUGAACCUACCAUGUUGGGAGGACACCAUGGCUGCCUGGUACUGGACCACCUUUCAUGGCUCCACCUUUCCAAAGCUUUCUUCUCACAACACUCUCCCAGCCUGCGUUCAGACCAGCUGGUUAUCCCAAGCAAUGGGACAAAUUUUCUUCCCAAGUGUUUGCCAGGGUAUGGACUGACACAAAGAACGAUUUCACAUAUAAUUGUAUAACAUUGUGAUCAAUGUUUUUAAACAAAAAAAAAAAUACCCCAAAGAUAGAACUGCUGAGCUUAAAAGCAAUCCAGAUGGAUUUUUCUGACCUCUUCCGGCACCAGCAUUUCCUUUAUGUUCUUGCAAAAUCACUGGAGAGAUUUUUUUUUAUAUCCAUUCACAUUUCAAUCCCAGGACUCAGAAGUUUCUAUAUUGUGCCUAAAAGAACGAAGUGUGCCACCAUUAAACUUGAACUACCCUGGACAGCUGCGAAGAUGGAAACACUGGAACGUUUUCAUUUUGUUGUGUAUAUUUCUCACAGUGCAGCUGGCCUGAAUUCUCUCUAAAAAGAUGUUGUGCAGCUGUUUCUCUGAGGCAGAACCUAAAGGCAAGCACAUGCCCCCGCCAUCGCCCCAGAAUAUCAUUUCCGACCUUGGCAGGCCAUUUUGUCUUUAACUGUGUUGUGUAUAAUCGCAACACAGAAAGAUCGCUAUUUAUUUGAAUCAUCUUUAGGAUACAGUGCAUAAGCUCACUCUCAGGAGUUCCAGGAAGGCAGCAGUCCAGGGUAAAAGAUUCCCUACGUCUUUCACCCCCUUUCAGUUUUGCAGUUGUCAUGGCAACGUGGGGCUCUGAUGGCACCUCCAGGAUUAUUACUAUCAUCACAGUUAUUUCUUCUGAUGACUAUUGUUGCUUAUUGUCAUCUACAUCAUUUGGAGUGUUGGUUCGUCAUAUCCUGAUCCUAAGCACCUAGCCUCUGAGGAGCAUCUUCUCAAAACAAUUGAAAAGUUUUAAAAAAAAGAUUAGAUCAUAAUCACCAAGAGAUUGCCAAUGGUGCAAUGAUCCUAGGUUGGGUUUCUGUUUUCCCUCUUUCUUU